GGGAGACCUAAUUCAGGUAGGAGACGAAAAAAAAGUAGUCCCUACUAAGAAUCAAUCCCAAAAGGUCGGAGCGAGGCAAAAUUGGCUUUCAAACUAGGUUCUGGGUUCACACAAGACCUGAAUCAGGAACAAGGGCUAUUAGCUCAGGUGGUUAGAGCGCACCCCUGAUAAGGGUGAGGUCCCUGGUUCGAGUCCAGGAUGGCCCACCUGUACAGGUGGCAAAAAGAAAGAAAAGAAGCGAGGAAUCAGCACCUUAUCUUACUUAUAUAGUAAGAGAGAAUGCUGGCUCUGAGUUCAGAG
rnacentral:tRNA from 1 species